GCUCCGUUGGUGAACCAGCGGAGGGAUCAUUACAGAGUUGCAAAACUCCCAAACCAUGGUGAACGUUACCUAUCCCGUUGCUUCGGCGGGCGGCCCGGGCCCCGCGCCCGGCGCCCCCCGGCCCCCCGUGGGCGCCCGCCGGAGGUAAACCAAACCCUUGAAUUGCAUGGCCUCUCUGAGUCUCCUGUACUGAAUAAGUCAAAACUUUCAACAACGGAUCUCUUGGUUCUG
rnacentral:misc_RNA from 1 species